AGGCAGCAGUGGGGAAUAUUGGACAAUGGGCGAAAGCCUGAUCCAGCAAUGCCGCGUGAGUGACGAAGGCCUUAGGGUUGUAAAGCUCUUUUACCAGGGAUGAUAAUGACAGUACCUGGAGAAUAAGCUCCGGCUAACUCCGUGCCAGCAGCCGCGGUAAUACGGAGGGAGCUAGCGUUGUUCGGAAUUACUGGGCGUAAAGAGUACGUAGGCGGUGAUUCAAGUCAGAGGUGAAAGCCUGGAGCUCAACUCCAGAACUGCCUUUGAAACUAGAUCGCUAGAAUUAUGGAGAGGUUAGUGGAAUUCCGAGUGUAGAGGUGAAAUUCGUAGAUAUUCGGAAGAACACCAGUGGCGAAGGCGACUAACUGGACAUAUAUUGACGCUGAGGUACGAAAGCGUGGGGAGCAAACAGGAUUAGAUACCCUGGUAGUCCACGCCGUAAACGAUGAUAACUAGCUGUUCGGGCUCUACGAGCCUGAGUGGCGCAGCUAACGCAUUAAGUUAUCCGCCUGGGGAGUACGGUCGCAAGAUUAAAACUCAAA
rnacentral:rRNA from 1 species